CUACGGGCCGCUCCAGUGGGGAAUAUUGCACAAUGGGGGAAACCCUGAUGCAGCAACGCCGCGUGGAGGAUGACACAUUUCGGUGCGUAAACUCCUUUUAUAUGAGAAGAUAAUGACGGUAUCAUAUGAAUAAGCUCCGGCUAACUCCGUGCCAGCAGCCGCGGUAAUACGGGGGGAGCAAGCGUUACUCGGAAUUACUGGGCGUAAAGCGCAUGUAGGCGGAUAGAAAAGUCAGAAGUGAAAUCCUAUAGCUUAACUAUAGAACUGCUUCUGAAACUCUCUAUCUAGAAUGUGGGAGAGGUAGAUGGAAUUUCUGGUGUAGGGGUAAAAUCCGUAGAGAUCAGAAGGAAUACCGAUUGCGAAGGCGAUCUACUGGAACAAUAUUGACGCUGAGAUGCGAAAGCGUGGGGAGCAAACAGGAUUAGAUACCCCUGUAGUC
rnacentral:rRNA from 1 species